CAUCUUCCUUGCUUUUAAAUUUUAUAUACCCUGCUUGAAUUGUGUUUCUUGAUAUGGAGGACAAAUCCAAUGAAAACAUUGAUUCCUCAUAUGAUAAAAUAGCUGAAAUGAAAGCUUUUGAUGAAACAAAAGCUGGUGUAAUGGGUCUUGUACAACGUGGGGUGACAAAGAUUCCACGCAUGUUCUAUUCUGGAGAAUUCACUGAAAACUCUGAUGGUAACACAAAGUUAAGUGUUCCCGUCAUUGACCUCAAAAACAUAAACAAUGAUCCUAUUCAUCGUGUGGAAAUUCUUAGCCAAAUUCGAACUGCAUGUAAGGAGUGAGGAUUUUUCCAAGUGAUUAAUCAUGGGAUUCCUGUUAAUGUCUUGGAUGGAAUGAUUGAUCGGAUUGAGGAGGCAAAUUUUCACAUCCACUAAGAAACAAGUGCAGGUGUGGAUUUUCCCGAUUAAUAAAGUGUAGAAUUGAAGAAACAGAAUUCGCCUCCGCUCCGCCUCGUUGUCAUGUCUAUAUAUCUCUAUCAUUAAUUUUUUGUGCUCUUCAAAUUUUUAUUUUGUGCCAAAAUAAAAUU